UACGAAGGGGGCGAGCGUUGUUCGGAUUUACUGGGCGUAAAGCGCACGUAGGCGGACUAUUAAGUCAGGGGUGAAAUCCCGGGGCUCAACCCCGGAACUGCCUUUGAUACUGGUAGUCUUGAGUUCGAGAGAGGUGAGUGGAAUUCCGAGUGUAGAGGUGAAAUUCGUAGAUAUUCGGAGGAACACCAGUGGCGAAGGCGGCUCACUGGCUCGAUACUGACGCUGAGGUGCGAAAGCGUGGGGAGCAAACAGG
rnacentral:rRNA from 1 species